AUGAUGAACCCAAUCAACGUUACAGAAGCCUGGAGGAAGAACACUAAAGUUGGAGUCCAGACACUGUUUUCCAAUCUCAUCCUCUGCCUACUAGUUAAACAUGAGCAAGUCACCCAGCACCCUGAGAAUCAGCAUCCCCCCUGCAAAGCAAGAAUAUUAAGUAACAUGAACUCUAAGGUCUUUCCUUUUAUUUUCGUGGGAAAAAACAUUUUAUUAAAUGUAUUUGCAUUUAAUUAAACAAAUGUUUAAUUUUGUAAAAAGUCAGUCACCAUCUUCCUUUUCAUAAUACACUCUUUUUUCUUAGGGAAAAAUAAUUCAUUUUUAUGAAUAGUAGUUUUAAUUCAUAAAUUCAGAUUUUUAUUGUGGUUAUUUCACUUUUUAAUGCAAAUUCCUAUUUCUCCUGCUUUAAAGGAAACUUCAUUCCAUAACUCUGGAAGUCCUUCUGUUUCCCCAUUCUGCGGUCUUUCGUGUUGCCAAUUCACGAGAGGGAGAUGUGAGUUAUAGGUCCAACUAAACUACCACAGGACUCCUUUUUCUUCUGUCCUCACCUUUCACUUCAGUUCUGAUGAGUCUCUGCUGAUUUCAUAUCCAUGUGGGAGAUGAGCAUCAUUUAUGAGCCUGUCUAUGAUUCUGUCUGCCUGGAGAUCAUACACCCAUUCCAGUCGGGGUGAGAGGGUAAGGUAGGCAACUAUUACAUUCCCAGUGGUUCUGUAACAGGCACCAGGUACCUGAAGCUACAGGAACAGUAGAUUUGACUUUCUCCCAUCUCUCAAGCCCAGGAAUAUCUUUUCUAAUCUGAGAGGCAUACUUGGAUCUUUCGUUGUACACCAAGAAACUGUCCUUGCCCACAAAUUCCUGUCUCACCUUUAAUCUCUUUAUAAAUACUUCAAGUUCUACAGAAGGAAAAGAAGAUAUUUGAUUAACUUUAGAAUUUAAGUAAAGCAUGCAUGUUUAAAAAUUUAAAGAGAGGCAAUGAAAAAAAUAGAAAUAUAACUUCUAAACCAACAGAGGAGAAAAAUAAAUUUAAAAAUCUAAAUAAUCCA
rnacentral:lncRNA from 1 species